CAAAUACCAACGUUAUUAUUUAUCGACUGCUCACUCUGGGCAGAGCACUGUACUAAGCACACGGGUACAUACAGUAUAAUAGACGUAGUCGAUGCGAUCCCUGAGCACAGGGAGUUUAUCUCAGGCCCGAGUAUUUUGCGACCUUGGAUUAUUCAGGUCAUUUGGAUUUUUAGAGCCUUGCAGAAUCAGCUUCUGUUUCCCCUGAAAUAUUCAGGAUGAUGUAGUGCAGCGGGCUGGGCCCGCUCUUUGAAAGGAAUAAACUAAUUUGGCCGGUGAAACGAGAGACUGUAAAACCUUGAAAAGGCUGGGGAAGAGCACACUGAUGCGUGAUUGAUACGAAUCUGUGAAAAACCACUUUAUCCACCGUGUCUCGGGAAAAAUCCGAUCCCUCGCUUUUGUUGGUGGAAGAGUCUUUACAAGGAGAGGGUCAUCAUAACAUCCCUCCCGACUGGGUGUCAUCCGCUUCCCUCAUUAUCAUCGGACACUGAUGAACUGUAAAUUCCUUUCUAAAAUUGGCAGGAGGACUCCUGGCCGCAUUUAGCUCUGGACGGAUUGUUUUUUGUCUUCUGGUCGCGUCUUGGCCCAAGAGGCAGUUCACAGAGGCGUGCUGAAAGCAGAAGCAUCAAGUGUUGUGUCAGAAAGGACCAGGGUAGCUUCCUCUUGAUGGAUAUUCCGAUGGGAUUGGGGUGGCCCGAUGCUCACCGACCACGUGCGGAUCAUUUCGGAUGGGCCCCUUCCGCAGGACUGGAUAGCAACGAGCGCUCCAGAUGCCGGUGGGGUUCCACGGAAUGGAGUCGCGUUUCGGCCACGAUCCAAGCUACUCUUCCGUCUGAACCCUGUGGUCUGAAUCUUCCUGCCUGUUUUUCUACGUUGAGCACAUCAGGACACUCCAGAACGCUCAGAAGAUCACAAACGAGUCACAGAGUAAACGGAAUCAAAGUAGGGCCCUGGUGCAAGUCCUUUCUGGACCGUGACAGCGGGAUACGCCGGCCUCGGGAAGCUUCAGAGAAAUCGGCUCUCAGAUCUUCUCGUUUUCUGAUCCACCGGAGUGUGCAAGUGACACCAUCUCGGUCCGUUCUGACCCUGUUAUCGGGACUAGCAGACGUUUCAUCUGUACUUCCCUGGCUCCUUGCCUUUGAUGGAUUCCGGUAUCACCCUGGCGUGGGUCUCUCGGAAUUUUGAAAAACUCUCAGGUACCUUUGAUAAGAAGGCUUCUACACCCAGCCAAGCCAAAGUGAGUUUCUCUUUGCAGCAGAAAGGGAAUACAACUAUUUCUGUCAUAAUUCGGGGAAUAAAUAUGCUCUUCCCUCUCA